AAGUCGUAACAAGGUUUCCGUAGGUGAACCUGCGGAAGGAUCAUUACCAAUUCGAACUCUUUGGCGUGCUGUUGGGGGGCGUGUUUUACACACCGCCAAACGCACGCCAAACUCUACCAACCUUUGAUUGUGAACCAUGAGAUUCAAACACAUAGUCUUCCCGUUUUUUGCUUUGCGAAAAGCGGGGAGCAAUUUUAUCCAACCCAACCAUAUUCUUCACACCACCACCACCAUGCGUGUGUGUGUGUGGGGAACAAAAGCAAGCGUUGAGCUCCGAAAGCAAAAAACAGAAUGUCAUGUACAACUUUUAACGGCGGAUCUCUUGGCUCGU
rnacentral:misc_RNA from 1 species